rnacentral:rRNA from 1 species
UACGAAGGGGGCUAGCGUUGUUCGGAAUCACUGGGCGUAAAGGGCGCGUAGGCGGCUUGAUAAGUCGGGGGUGAAAGCCUGUGGCUCAACCACAGAAUUGCCUUCGAUACUGUCUGGCUCGAGACCGGAAGAGGUAAGUGGAACUGCGAGUGUAGAGGUGAAAUUCGUAGAUAUUCGCAAGAACACCAGUGGCGAAGGCGGCUUGCCAGAACGCGCUCGACGGUGAGGGAUGAAAGCUGGGGG